CACACUAAAUGGUGCCGUGGAGCAGAUGUACACUGAGAUGGCCUCUCGCCACCGUGUGAGAUCCCCCUGCAUUCAGAUCAUCAAGACCGCGACUGUCAACUUCAAGCUAUGCAAGAGAGACAACACCAAGCAGUUCCACAACUCCAAGAUCAAGUUCCCCCUUGUGUACCAAAAGGUCAGGCCACCAACCAGGAAGCUGAAGACCACCUACAAGGCAACGAGGCCGAACUUGUUCAUGUGAUUGGGCUGUGGUGGAUGCUGUUAAGAGUUGAAAUGUUUUCUUCGUAUGUUGGAUCUUCUGAUGCAUGAAGACAAGCGUUUUGUUGCUUAUUUAUCGGUUAAAGACAUGGUUGGUGGACCUUCUGAUUGUGUUCUUAUCAGUAAUCUGCAUACAAUCUAUUGGUACCUGAUAUAGAUAUCUGUUUGAAGUCUGUUCUGUUUUCGUGUCUAGUUUCUCUUACGAUCGCCCAUGCUGAUUUUGAAAUAAAAUCAUGUCACUGGUAACAGUGCUUAACUUGAUAUUGAAAUAAAAUCAUGUCACUAUGGUAACAGCGCUUAACUGUAACUCUUCCAUCUUUACCGCUCUGUUUUUCCUUUUUCCUUGAUUUUUGUUCUCUCCGGCUUUCAGCUAAUUUUUCACUACAGUUAAUUUUGUGAACCUUUAAUUGAAGAUGAAC
rnacentral:lncRNA from 1 species